GCGUAGCUCAGCGGUAGAGCAGUUGACUGUUAAUCAAUUGGUCGUAGGUUCGAUCCCUAC
rnacentral:tRNA from 1 species